GACGAACGCUGGCGGCGUGCUUAACACAUGCAAGUCGAACGGUAAGGCCCUUCGGGGUACACGAGUGGCGAACGGGUGAGUAACACGUGGGUGAUCUGCCCUGCACUUCGGGAUAAGCCUGGGAAACUGGGUCUAAUACCGGAUAGGACCAUUGCCUGCAUGGGUGGUGGUGGAAAGCUUUUGCGGUGUGGAUGGGCCCGCGGCCUAUCAGCUUGUUGGUGGGGUGAUGGCCUACCAAGGCGACGACGGGUAGCCGGCCUGAGAGGGUGACCGGCCACACUGGUACUGAGAUACUGCCCAGACUCCUACGGGAGGCAGCAGUGGGGAAUAUUGCACAAUGGGCGCAAGCCUGAUGCAGCGACGCCGCGUGAGGGAUGACGGCCUUCGGGUUGCAAACCUCUUUCAGCACCGACGAAGCGCAAGUGACGGUAGGUGCAGAAGAAGGACCGGCCAACUACGUGCCAGCCGCCGCCGUAA
rnacentral:rRNA from 1 species